rnacentral:rRNA from 1 species
GACGAACGCUGGCGGCGUGCUUAACACAUGCAAGUCGAGCGGUAAGGCCCUUUCGGGGGUACACGAGCGGCGAACGGGUGAGUAACACGUGGGUGACCUGCCCUCAGCUCUGGGAUAAGCCUGGGAAACCGGGUCUAAUACUGGAUAUGACUCCAUGACGCAUGUUGUGGGGUGGAAAGCCUUGUGCGGCUGGGGAUGGGCCCGCGGCCUAUCAGCUUGUUGGUGGGGUGAGGGCCUACCAAGGCGACGACGGGUAGCCGGCCUGAGAGGGCGACCGGCCACACUGGGACUGAGACACGGCCCAGACUCCUACGGGAGGCAGCA